ensembl:snoRNA
CCAUCACAGCCUACAAAGGAACUUCAAAUACAGAACAUCAUUGCCUGAGGAUAGACAAGCAAGCUCACGUCCCUCCCCAGUAAGACUUUGCUAUCUUUUGGGGCCUACAAGGUGAGCUGACAGU